GCCUUUACUCUUUACACUGUAGCUGGUAUAGAAGAACCAAGUAAAUUAAUUUUUUGAUAAUUGGAUGAUGGAACGCCGUUAUUAACAUCCUUUCAUGUUAAUCAAUAGCAAUUUUCAGUAGCAUGCUAACUGCUAAGUAGUUUCUGGAGUUCAUUAAUUUCAUCUUUCCGUUCCAAUUAUAUUUAUUUAAAUGUGUUUGAAAUCCUAAUAUUCCCGGUCACUUCUGUUACUAUGAUUUAUAGCACUCCCUCCAUUUCACAAAGGUUCGUGUAUUUGGUUUCGUUAAGACAAGCCUUUGAUAAAAAAUUACUCUAUUAAUAUGUAAGUCAUAUGAUACGAAACCGUAGCAAUGCUUUUCUUUCUUAACAGCAACAGUGGCCAUGCAAUUCGAAUUUGAGUUCUUUCAUGAGUUAGCUUCUAAAAGAAAUUGAACGUCUGGCUUCUUCCUGACAAAAGAAAAACAGACAAUUCGGAAUUUUGUGAUCCAGACAGGAAUAAUAGGUCAUGGAAACCCGUUGUUUUUAUUAUUGCUGUUUUACAGUCAGUACAGCCUUUCACCAUCCUGUAAUAAAUAAAUCCCAUGAUCCUUCCCACCAGCAGUUCUUCAAAUCAUAUUAUUAUUCUUCAAACUCAAAAGUAAAAAAAAAAGUCAAUUGGCAUUAGAGGGAUCCACUUCACUUCAUGCAGUCACGCACACACGCUGCCUCGUCGUCUGCUGCUGCAAAUGCAAAAUAAAUCAUCAUCAGAGAAAGAAAGAAGAAGGCCAAAUAAAAGAACAAAAUAUCAUGCAUGUAGUGUAUCAUCGUCGUCGAUCGAUCUCCAGCGAGCGAUCAUCGGCUUACCGUUGUGCGGCUGGGCGCCGCAGACGGAGAUGGCGGCGCAGGCGAUCUCGCACAUGGCGGCGCGCUCGCCGCCGUGGCCGCGGUGGACGGCGGCGUCCGGGCUGUUGGCGCAUUUCUUGGCGCGGUUGAACAUGCAGACCAGCUUCGGCGCAUGGCGCCGGCACUCGGCGAAGCAAGGGUCGUAGCACUGGCAGAAACUGGACGGCUCCCACGCGGCAGCAGCCGCCUGCCGCUGCAGUGACAGCAGGAAGAGCACGCAUAGGGCGGCCAUGGCGGUCGUCGCUCUUGCCUUGGACGCCAUCUUCUUCCUCUCGCAGACAGACACCGAUAGCUCGAGCUUGAGCUUCAGGAACAAACAAUGGGACAAUGGAGAUUGGAGAAGAGGAGUGAUGUGCCUCAGCAUGUGUAGGGGAGGCCUUAUAUAGCACUGAUGUUGGUUCCGAGGGGCGAUAUCGACAUUUCACCCCGGGUAAUUCAUGAUGAAGCUGAGAUGCAUAUCUAGUGUUUUUUCGCCGUUUUGCAGAUAAUCAAACGGUGGCGAUUUCCUGGCCCUGAAUUCUCCUAUAUAUGUGUCGUCUUUUCGGCGAAGGAAUGGUGAUAGUGGAGUGUGUCAUGUAGCCAGCUUUGUUUUCUCAGGCAAGCCCUUGUGAAGCAAGCCGCGUGUGUCGUGGAAAGAAAACAGAAAUCAGUUCUGAUAAAAAAAUAUGGUAUGGCGUAUCAGUGAAGGUGUUUGCCUGUUUAGCUGUACAGUACAGCUGCAGGAAGGUGCAUGAGUGUCAGGCAUCUAGAUUUCAUUCCGGUGGCUGUGAUGCUGAAAUGGUUUGUUCGUUGUAGCUCACUGUGCAGGAGACCUGUGACGUGCUCCAUAAGGAAAUUGACCCCCUAUGUAUCAUGCCCUCUUCAAUUGUGAGGUGGUGGGCUUGCAGUAAUUGAACUUGCCGCGGUCACUUGUGAACUGGGAAUGUAUGUUUCAAGUUAUUGUUAACUUCCAUUUGCUAUCUGGUUUAUGUACCAACUGGUAAUGAAGGCAAAUCGACUUGCUUUGAUUGCUCUGUGACUGCCAGUUAAUCUUGCAGUUAGUUUCUUCGUGCUUAGAUUUUGUGGUCUGCUGUACACAUCUUUGAGAUAAAAAUAUGUAUCCUUGAGUCAUGUGACAUUGGAUCUCUGUUUAUAUGGCAUGUUGUUUAAUUUUGUAUGUGA